rnacentral:rRNA from 1 species
AUGGCCCAGCUUUACCCUCUGGAUCUAGCAAAAACAAGAAGAAGAAAUAUCCCAAAUAAAAGAAUUGUUGAGCUUGCUGAGUACCCAUCCAUGAAUCUAAAAAGGAAGAAAGCAACUAUAUCUAUCAUGAAAUGGGGAGGAGAAAUGCCAGAAUAUGACUCCUUGACAGAAACUUGGAUAGUAAUGGAAGGAUUACCCCCAAAGUGGAUAAGCUGGAGUGUUAUAGCUCAAGUGGCAUCCAUUUUAGGGGUUCUGGUUAAUAUUGAUUGGCACAUGAUAUUUACAAGCUUUUAUGAGAAAGUGAGAAUUCAAGUUGCAGUCAGAGACCCCAGCAAAAUACCUACUGAUAGAGUGGUGGAAAUUCAGCACGAGCUGUAUCUGUUGAGGUUUGCAGUGAAAAAAGAUGCUAAAGAAAGCUCCAACUCUGACAACCCAUCUGACCCUGCUAGCAAUAAGAUUGAGGACACCAAUGUCAACAGUGAUGAUGAUCUACUGGGAGAAGAAAUGGAAACUGAGAUGGAAAAGUCUGGGAAAAAUAUUAAUACCCCAAGGCCCUCUGCUGCUCCUAGAGGAUCCAAAUCAAAUAGCAACAAAACUCCUGGGGCUACUAUUGAGAUUACUACAGGCUCAAAAAAUCAGAGAGCUCCACUGACCAAAAGCUAUUUGGAAGUGGUCCAGAAGAAAACUAGAGAUGAUUUUGGAGAAAGGUUGCUACCUAGCUUUGAAGCUGUUGUAAAUCAAAGUCAUGACAAGGCUGUUGGUCUAAAAAAACAAAACUGCUGUGAAGUGGGGGCCUAUAGAAGCCACCAGAAUGAGUGA